rnacentral:rRNA from 1 species
GGGCCCGCACAAGCGGCGGAGCAUGCGGAUUAAUUCGAUGCAACGCGAAGAACCUUACCAAGGCUUGACAUAUACCGGAAACGGCGAGAGAUCGUCGCCCCGCAAGGACGGAAUACAGGUGGUGCA